rnacentral:tRNA from 1 species
GCCCGAGUGGCGGAAUUGGUAGACGCGUCGGACUUAAAAUCCGAUGAUGGCUAAACCAUCGUGCCGGUUCGAGUCCGGCCUCGGGUA